CGUUUGUUUAUGUAAUUUAUACGUGUUUCUCGUUCCUCGUUUUUUUUUAUUUUAUAUAGAUUAGACCGUUGGUUUUCCCGUUUGAAUGGUUUUACACUAGUAAUUUUGGGGCCCUUUAUAGCUUGUUGUUCGGUGUGAGCCAAGGCUCCGUGUUGAAGGCCGUACAUUGACCUAUAAUGGUUUACUUUUUUAAAUUGUUAUUUGGAUGGAGAGUUGUCUC
rnacentral:lncRNA from 1 species